AUGGCGCCGAGGGAAAUCGAGAUCAAUGCAAAUACCAUCGAUGAUGCAGCAAGAGGGAUACUCCGUAUUCUGGAGGGUGCGAGCAAACAUGAACGGAAUAUCUACUUCCAUGGCUGGUGUGGACUCGGGGCAUCCGCUACUCUAAGAAUGGUAUCCCAACGCUUGAAAUCAUCAUCCACUGAAGAAAUGAAGUUUGACAAGGUUGUUCACGUGGAUUGCUCAUUGUGGCAAGGCAUGAGAGCCCUGCAAAAGGCAAUUGUUGAGGAGCUGGAGCUUCCCCAAUCAGUGAUGGCCAUCUUCGACUAG
rnacentral:rRNA from 1 species